GACGAACCGUGCAAACGUUGUUCGGAAUCACUGGGCUUAAAGGGCGCGUAGGCGGGCAAGCAAGUCGAAGGUGAAAUCCCACGGCUCAACCGUGGAAGUGCCCCCGAUACUGCUUGUCUUGAGGGAGAUAGGGGCGUGCGGAACUUCCGGUGGAGCGGUGAAAUGCGUAGAUAUCAGGAGGAACACCCGUGGCGAAAGCGGCUCUCUGGGACGGUACUGACGCUGAGACGCGAAAGCGUGGGGAGCAAACAGG
rnacentral:rRNA from 1 species